CUCUCUCUCUCUCUCUCUAACAAUCCGACCCGUUAGUAAUAAUAAUUCAUUGGGGUCAAAUCACCAGCUCGUUCGGCUCAAAUCAUCAGUUCAAAAUGUUUAAGUCCAGUUAUUAUUAUUAGUAUGUAGGCCUCAUAUAAACUGAUCGAAAUCAGUAUUCCAUCCGAUGUGGGGUUAUUAGGACAUUACACUCUCUCUCUCUCUCAAAUUCUCUUAAUUAGAAAUCAAACUUAGAUUGUGACCACACAUUUUGUUAAAUUCUUACAAAAGCAGCACAUUUUAAGGAAGACAAAGAUGUUUACACU
rnacentral:lncRNA from 1 species